AGGAGUUUAGGUUACUUAGACCAGAAACCUUCAAAGUUUCCAGCAAAUAGAAUUUAUUUAACUCCUG
rnacentral:tRNA from 1 species